rfam:Magnetococcus sp. MC-1, complete genome.
UUGAGCCGUGUGCGGUGAAAGUCGCACGCACGGUUCUUAGGGGGGGAUGUGGGGGUAACCCCAUGUCCCUACCCGAC